GCACCCGUGGCGCAAUGGAUAGCGCAUAGCCCUCCUAAGGCUGGGGUUGAGGGUUCGAGUCCCUUCGGGUGCG
rfam:Cryptosporidium muris RN66 scf_1106632373441 genomic scaffold, whole genome shotgun sequence.